ACAGCCCUAGUUGUUAAAUUUCGACGAGUUUUAUUCAGAAUUGGUGCUAAAAUAAGAAACAAAUCGAAAGGACGCCGCGAGUUCCGGACUACCUAAAGCUAAGACAAACAGAGGCUGUUGGUUGAAUCCUGUGUAAUCCUGGCCACUUAUCACGCGUGCAAAAUGCAAAUUCGGACCGGGCCCGACGCGGAAUUAACGAAAACGCAAAUCGUUGCACAUCACUAGAAUCGCUCGGCAAUUGUCAAAGUUUGCUACGGGUUAAGGAUUUAUCAAGAUGGUUUACGUGAAAAUAAAAUGUAUGUAGGAUUGGAUUAUUGAUCGAGGAAGGGCUGCCUUGAGGCGUACUACGCGACCGAGUAAAAUCGUGAAAUUGGAAAAUAAAAAUCAAAACUAAAAUAAAUUAUAAGGACGUGAAGGGAUUGUAAACAC